rnacentral:rRNA from 1 species
GACGAACGCUGGCGGCGUGCCUAAUACAUGCAAGUAGAACGCACAGGAUGCACCGUAGUUUACUACACCGUAUUCUGUGAGUUGCGAACGGGUGAGUAACGCGUAGGUAACCUGCCUGGUAGCGGGGGAUAACUAUUGGAAACGAUAGCUAAUACCGCAUAAGAACAUUUACUGCAUGGUAGAUGUUUAAAAGGUGCAAAAGCAUCACUACCAGAUGGACCUGCGUUGUAUUAGCUAGUUGGUGAGGUAACGGCUCACCAAGGCAACGAUACAUAGCCGACCUGAGAGGGUGAUCGGCCACACUGGGACUGAGACACGGCCCAGACUCCUACGGGAGGCAGCAGUAGGGAAUCUUCGGCAAUGGGGGGAACCCUGACCGAGCAACGCCGCGUGAGUGAAGAAGGUUUUCGGAUCGUAAAGCUCUGUUGUUAAGGAAGAACGUGUGUGAGAGCGGAAAGUUCACACAGUGACGGUACUUAACCAGAAAGGGACGGCUAACUACGUGCCAGCAGCCGCGGUAAUACGUAGGUCCCGAGCGUUGUCCGGAUUUAUUGGGCGUAAAGCGAGCGCAGGCGGUUAGAUAAGUCUGAAGUGAAAGGCAGUGGCUCAACCAUUGUAGGCUUUGGAAACUGUUUAACUUGAGUGCAGAAGGGGAGAGUGGAAUUCCAUGUGUAGCGGUGAAAUGCGUAGAUAUAUGGAGGAACACCGGUGGCGAAAGCGGCUCUCUGGUCUGUAACUGACGCUGAGGCUCGAAAGCGUGGGGAGCGAACAGG